rnacentral:lncRNA from 1 species
AUGCCGUGGAUCCCAGCAGGGAAAGUGGGCCUGGGGCGCCCCUGGUUGUUGGGGUGCUGCAUCCUGUGGCCUGGCUGUUUCCGCUCCAUGACCUGCCUGGCCGUGGAGGCGCCCAUCUGCCUGGUUAGUGCAACAUCACCUGUCCUUGCCCUGGGCUGGGUCAGAAAGGGAAUCGCGCUCCUCCUCUCUGGCCCAGGAGCUGGGCAGCUGCAGCUGGUGUGGCCCAGGGUAGGCGGAGCCCUGCCUGCCCGUGGCCUGUCAUCCAGGACACACGCCAGCCGUUGGUCCCCUGCCAUGUGCACCUGUGUCCCCAGGUGCUUUCCUGAAGGUGUCUUUCCUGUGUGUACAGAGCCGUGGGCGCUCAGCCAGCCGGAAAUCAAGUGCCCCUCCCCGUUUCCCUCUCUUCACCCUCCUGGGCCUGUCCUCCCUGACGGGCAGGCCUCUGUGCAUCCUGGGAGGAGCUCCAGGCUCCGCAGUGGUGGUCCAUGGGACUCCUUGACAUCAUGGCUUUGUUCCUGCCUUGGGAGGAGGCGGGUGCAGGUGCAGAGUGGGGGCAGCCCAGCUCCUCACUCCCCACCAUUAGCAGGUUCACGGCUGCUCUGUGCUCCGGAGAGCACCCCCAUCUUGUGCUCCUCCCCCACAUUCAGUGCCACAAGCCAGUGUGUGGCGCACUGUGGCCUGGCAGGUGGCUGCUGGGUGGUGGUGGUGUCCGGUGACCGUCCAGUGACCUCGAACAUGAUGCUCACGUUAGCAUCGUGUUGUCCAGAGGAGGUGGUACGGGGAUGGUUUUGGAGUUCCAAGUCUAGUUCUGGAUCCCUUCAAACUGGAAAACUGCAGAAAAUGCGCCUUCUUUGUUCUCAGACGAGCACCUGGGAGGCGGGCAGGUGGGGUGAGGCCUGGUGGGAGGACAGGCCUGGUGUCCAGUGGGAAGUGCCAGAAGGAAGGCACAGCUGUCAGCUGGUGUUACCCCAGGGCCGCCAGGAGGUGGCAGUGCAGACACAUGUGCGGCGGUAUUGGACUGGGGCACGUGGCCUCCAGGCCUGGCGUCGGGACGUUUUGCAGGGGUGUGUCCACGGCUCUCAGGCAAGACCAGUCCUGGCCAGGACAGACCCUUGCCCAGGUAACUGCUGGUUUAGACCCUGA